rnacentral:rRNA from 1 species
UACAGGGGGUGCAAACGUUGCUCGGAAUCAUUGGGCGUAAAGCGCACGUAGGCGGUUCGUUAUGUCGGAUGUGAAAGCCCUUGGCUUAACCGAGGAAGUGCAUCCGAAACUGGCGAGCUAGAGUACGAAAGAGGAUCGCGGAAUUCCCGGUGUAGAGGUGAAAUUCGUAGAUAUCGGGAGGAACACCGGUGGCGAAGGCGGCGAUCUGGGUCGAUACUGACGCUGAGGUGCGAAAGCGGUGGGGAGCAAACAGG